rnacentral:tRNA from 1 species
CAUUAUAUAAUUAAUUUAGUUUAUAUAAUUAUUAUAAUUAAUUAUAAU